rnacentral:tRNA from 1 species
AAUCUUUUAAAAAGUAGC